AAGAGAAAAAAAAAAGGAAACUAAAACGUCCCCCUGUCCAGUCGAAUUAAUAGACUGCCACCCUCGCUUCCCAAAAUGUACUUUUUGUUGUCAGUUGCAAUCCUCCAGAGACUUCUAAUGCUGUUAAGAGAAAAAAAAAACCAUUGAGCACCUUCUCCGUUUGUGAAAAAAUCACUCCGUCUCUUCAGUCUGGUUCUCGUCCUAACCCCAGCGAAGGCAUGGCAUAAGGUGGCACUGCCUGUUCCAGGUAAACCUGCUCGCCUCUCUUAAGGCUUUCUAUGGCGAUUAUAUGUGCCGUUUGGUUUGCGCAUCUUGAUAUACGUCUAAAAUAGAUCUUGUGGAAAUGAUUCUUAUUUUGGUGAAUAUCUUUAAUAUAAGCUCCUAUUUUCGACUUAUCUUCAACAUUGGACUAACACUUUUUGAUAACUGUCAAUGCAUCCCCUUUGAUUUCUACUGCAUCCACACCUAUCCCCAUCCCCAACCUCACUGCUUGAGAGCAUGCAAAAGCUUCCGCAGCAAGUAAAGAGGCUAUCCGAUUCGCCAGAACCGAUUGGAGACAAUUACCUCCCCCCUUUCAUUCAUAGUCACCAACCCCGAAGCAGAUUUGAAAAUUUGUUGGCUAAAAGCCGCAUAAAAAUUAAUGCGAACCACAUGAUUCUUUUGGAGUCAAGAUUCCAAAGAGGAUAAGUGUUUGAUAACCCAAAGUGCAUAGCAGAAUAAUCGACAUUGUUUGUUCGAACCAUCUUCAAACACCCAGGUGAGCCACUCCCAGUUACCCAGAUUGGGUUUAGAUAUCACCCAAGCCAGGUUUAAAUAUGUCCACAAUUCUAUUGAAACAGGACAUUCUCGAGAUACAUGCACAGAGGUUUCCACUCCCAAACCAUACCUUGGGCAUACUGUACUUGAUCUGAGUUGUCUGCACUAUAGAUUGGUUAGGGUAGGCAGAAAGUCCCAAGAGACUUUCCAAGUUGUAAUUUUUUGCUUUGCUGUGAGAUUAAGGCUCCAUAAUUUUUUGUAAAAAGGUUUCAUUUAAUCCUGUAUCUCAUUAGCACUAGAAACAGUAGGGAUGUUGAACAAUAGUUUGUAUGCACUCCUAACUGUAAAUUCGCUCGAAGUUUCUCCUUUCCACACCAGCA